AGUUGGGGAAACUGAGAUCCAAGAGGAGAAACUAUGGAUGAACAUAUGGGAUUCCAGAUAUUGGGAUUUCUCAAACCUUUUCAUUCAAAGUUUUAAUUUAUUUUAGGGCUUUUACUCUUUUCCCCCUCUUUAACAACAUUUAUUUUUUUUUUCUUUUCUUGAUUUCAUUAUGUUUGUUUUUUUUAUUAGGUCAAGAGAAACUACUGAGGAAGAAUAUCAAGCCUUCAUGCUUAUCUAUCCCAACACUGGAAUCCUCUUUGCAUCGUGCCUAACAUUUUCAUGAAAAUCUCUUACGGCUUUAGGGAAUUUAAUUUCCAUGUAGUUUGGAUUAUUAUUAAAUCGAUGGUAAAUCGGAGGGUUAAAGGGCAUGUCAAGAAACGAGUACCAUUAGCAAUGAGUCAACAGAAACUGUGGGGGUCGAAGAUGAAGGUCUUCUCCAUCUAAUUAAUCAAUUCUCCAUUAUCUCUCUUUCUAUCUUCCCAAAGAACUACAACCAGACUCUUCGCAAAGUAAAUGAUUUGAGAAAUCGAUUGAAUUAAACUGGAGUGUAAUUGUUUUCAAUGUGAGAUUGUUUCGAGUUCUUGAUUAUAUAUGUUUAUGGGUAUGUUGUCUUUUUCUAGACCUUCUUUUCCCUUUUGAGGUCCUAUUGCUUUGGAACAUUGAGUUUACAUCAACGCCUCCUCUGUUUGCCGCCAUUCCUGGAUAGGUGUUUUUCAUGUUUAGUUCUAUUUUUGUAUUGUGGUUGAUGAAUCAUAUAGAAAUAUUCUAAUGAAAAAGACUUUGAUGAUGUUCCUUA